GUGUGUUGUAAGGGCGCAUGGUGGAUGCCUUGGCAUGCUAAGCCGAUGAAGGACGUGGAAGGCUGCGUUAUGCCUCGGGGAGUUGUCAAUCGAGCGUUGAUCCGAGGAUGUCCGAAUGGGGAAACCCGGCUGUGGUUAUUCGCAGUCACCUGCUGGUGAAUAUAUAGCUAGUAUGGGGGUUACGCGGGGAAGUGAAACAUCUCAGUACCCGUAGGAGAAGGAAACAAUAUGUGAUUUCGUGAGUAGCGGCGAGCGAAAGCGAAUGGUGGCUAAACCGUAUGUGUGUGAUACUUGGUAGAGGUUGCAUGUGCGGGGUUGUUGGGAGCGAUUGUAUGACUACUACCAUGGUUGUGCUGAUGUGCGCGUGUUAGGUGAAGUGGUUUGGAAUGGCCCACCGGAGUGGGUGAGAGUCCUGUAGCUGAAGGCAUGUGUGUGUUGGUUGAUUGUUUCCCGAGUAGCGGCGGGCUCGUGGAAUCUGCCGUGAAUCUGCCGGGACCACCCGGUAAGCCUAAAUACUUAGUGUGACCGAUAGCGGAUAGUACCGUGAGGGAAUGGUGAAAAGUACCCCGGGAGGGGAGUGAAAUAGUUCCUGAAACCAUGUGCUUACAAUCCGUCAGAGCACCUUUUGUUGUGUGAUGGCGUGCCUUUUGAAGAAUGAGCCUGCGAGUCAGCGGCAUGUCGCGAGGUUAACCCGUGUGGGGUAGUCGUAGCGAAAGCGAAUCCUAAUUGGGUGUUGUUAGUGGCAUGUCCUGGACCCGAAGCGGGGUGAUCUACCCAUGGCCAGUGUGAAGCAGCUGUAAGAGGUUGUGGAGGCGCGAACCCACGUAGGUUGAAAACUGCGGGGAUGAGCUGUGGGUAGGGGUGAAAGGCCAAUCAAACUCCGUGAUAGCUGGUUCUCCCCGAAAUGCAUUUAGGUGCAGCGUCGUAGUUGAGCUUUGUGGAGGUAGAGCUACUGUUUGGUUGAGCGGGACUAUCAUCUUAGCAACAUCAGACAAACUCCGAAUGCCAUGUAAGUGUUCUACGGCAGUGAGACUGUGGGGGAUAAGCUUCAUAGUCGAGAGGGAAACAGCCCAGAUCGCCGGCUAAGGCCCCUAAGGGUGUACUAAGUGGAAAAGGAUGUGGGAUCGCGAUGACAGCCAGGAGGUUGGCUUAGAAGCAGCCAUCCUUGAAAGAGUGCGUAAUAGCUCACUGGUCGAGUGGUUCUGCGCCGAUAAUGUAGUGGGGCUCAAGUACACCGCCGAAGCCGCGGCAACCAUCUUUGAGGAUGGUUGGGUAGGGGAGCGUCGUGCAUGAGGUGAAGCAUGAGUGUGAACACGUGUGGAUUGUGUGCGAGUGAGAAUGCAGGCAUGAGUAACGAAUUGUAAGGUGAGAAUCCUUACCGCCGGAUGACUAAGGGUUCCUGGGUCAAGUUCGUCUUCCCAGGGUGAGUCGGGACCUAAGGCGAGGCCGACAGGCGUAGUCGAUGGAUAACCAGUUGAUAUUCUGGUACCCGAGUGUGUGCGUCAAUGGUAAAGCAGUGAUACUAACCAUGUUCGAGACUUAUUGAUUAUGCCCUUUUUGGGUGUGUUGAUAGGUUGAGUUUGUGGGGCCUGAUCUGUGGUCCAAGUGAUGGGGUGACGCAGUAGGGCAGCCACGCCGCUUAGUGGAUUGUUGGUGUAAGCGUUGAGGUUGGUGCCAUUGGUAAAUCCGGGUGCUGUAUCCAAGGCGUGAUGCAUAGCCCGUACAGGGUGAAUGUGGUGUGCUUGUGCUGUCGAGAAAAGCCUCUAGCGAGUGCAUAUUCGGCCCGUACCCUAAACCGACACAGGUAGUCAGGUUGAGAAUACUAAGGCGUUCGGGUGAACUGUGGUUAAGGAACUCGGCAAAAUGUCCCCGUAACUUCGGGAGAAGGGGAGCCUCACUGGUUGUAUAGGCUGGUGGGGCCGCAGAGAAUAGAGGGGUCCGACUGUUUAUCAAAAACACAGGUCCAUGCGAAAACGUGAAGUUGAUGUAUAUGGACUGACGCCUGCCCGGUGCUGGAAGGUUAAGAGGACCUGUUAGACCUUUUGUGGUCGAAGCGGAGAAUUUAAGCCCCAGUAAACGGCGGUGGUAACUAUAACCAUCCUAAGGUAGCGAAAUUCCUUGUCGGGUAAGUUCCGACCUGCACGAAUGGCGUAACGAGACCCCUGCUGUCUCAACCACAGGCCCGGUGAAAUUGCAGUACGAGUAAAGAUGCUCGUUACGCGCGGCAGGACGAAAAGACCCCGGGACCUUCACUAUAGCUUGGUAUUGGUGUUCGGUUUGGCUUGUGUAGGAUAGGUGGGAGACUGUGAAGUAUGCACGCUAGUGUGUGUGGAGUCGUUGUUGAAAUACCACUCUGGCUUGAUCGGAUACCUGAACCUUGGCCCAUGAUCUGGGUUGGGGACAGUGCCUGGUGGGUAGUUUAACUGGGGCGGUUGCCUCCUAAAGAGUAACGGAGGCGCCCAAAGGUUUCCUCAGCCUGGUUGGCAAUCAGGUUUUGAGUGUAAGUGCACAAGGAAGCUUGACUGUGAGAGUGACUGCUCGAGCAGGGACGAAAGUCGGGACUAGUGAUCCGGCACCUACUUGUGGAUGUGGUGUCGCUCAACGGAUAAAAGGUACCCCGGGGAUAACAGGCUGAUCUUCCCCAAGAGUCCAUAUCGACGGGAUGGUUUGGCACCUCGAUGUCGGCUCGUCGCAUCCUGGGGCUGGAGUAGGUCCCAAGGGUUGGGCUGUUCGCCCAUUAAAGCGGCACGCGAGCUGGGUUCAGAACGUCGUGAGACAGUUCGGUCUCUAUCCGCCGCGCGCGUAGAAACUUGAAAAAGGCUGUCCCUAGUACGAGAGGACCGGGAUGGAUACACCUCUAGUGUGCCAGUUGUCACGCCCGUGGCAUGGCUGGUUGGCUACGUGUAGAAGGGAUAACCGCUGAAAGCAUCUAAGCGGGAAGCCUGUUUUGAGAUGAGGUUUCGUUAUUUAGGCGCCCUAGAGAUUAUGGGGUUGAUAGGCUAGAUCUGGAAGCGUUGUAAGGCGUGGAGGUGACUGGUACUAAUUCGCCGAACUACUACAACA
rnacentral:rRNA from 1 species